GGGGAAUUUUGCGCAAUGGGGGCAACCCUGACGCAGCAACGCCGCGUGCGGGACGACGGCCUUCGGGUUGUAAACCGCUUUCAGCAGGGAAGAAAUUCGACGGUACCUGCAGAAGAAGCUCCGGCUAACUACGUGCCAGCAGCCGCGGUAAUACGUAGGGAGCGAGCGUUAUCCGGAUUCAUUGGGCGUAAAGAGCGCGUAGGCGGCCUCUCAAGCGGGAUCUCUAAUCCGAGGGCUCAACCCCCGGCCGGAUCCCGAACUGGGAGGCUCGAGUUCGGUAGAGGCAGGCGGAAUUCCCGGUGUAGCGGUGGAAUGCGCAGAUAUCGGGAAGAACACCGAUGGCGAAGGCAGCCUGCUGGGCCGCAACUGACGCUGAGGCGCGAAAGCUAGGGGAGCGAAC
rnacentral:rRNA from 1 species